UCUCUCUAUUGUUUCAAACAAAGUUCUUACGCUCUAUUAAGUUCUUCUACAUAUACCUGAUACAAGACUUCUCAUGUAUUGUAGUUGACAUAAUCUGCACAGGACGUUAGCAUAAUGAAAUCAGGGAAUUGUUAUUUUGUAUUGUUUUGACGUUUGUUCUGAAAACAGAGCAAGAAAACUGAAUAAACAAUGUUCACCAAA
rnacentral:sRNA from 1 species